ensembl:snoRNA SNORD22 Small nucleolar RNA SNORD22
UCCCAAUGAGGAAACUUGUGCCUAUCUUACUGGCUGUCCUGGUACCAGAACCUGCAAAGGUGAACCCACUGGUACCUGCAGCAUGAGAGGAGGAGAACAUGCUCCAAGAGGAGCAGUCUGAUGGGAC